rnacentral:misc_RNA from 1 species
CAAGCCCAGAGUCGCCCAG